AAAAACAUAGUCUAUAAUAUAAUAAAGUUUUUAAAUAAGGUUAUACAUUAAAAAUGGACUAGUCGCUCCUGCAUAUCGCGAAAGUCAUUAAUAAUCGAGUCAUCAAUAAUCAAUUUUAUAGCAGCAUAUUCGUAUAAUCGAGUCAUCAAUAAUCAAUAAUCAAACUCUAUUGUUUCAGUUGCAUCGAAUCUUAUUCGUUGCAUAUGAGGAAGAUGUAUUUGUAAUCUCUCAACUGAUUUUGAACAUAUUUGUACAAAUAUGCUGCUAUGAGUUUGAUUAUUUAUAGAAUAGUAAAUGACCAUUUACUACUAAUUUAACUUCAUUUUAGCCAAUUUCAAUGAAAAUCUCUUUACCAACCCCAUUCCAAUGAAUUCUAAUAAAAGGACGUCAUUACCGUUGACCUCAUUUAACUCUCUUUCUCUGUUUCUCACUAUCAAAAUCUCUUUCUCUCUCUCUCUCUCUCUCUCUCUCUCUCUCUCUCUCUCUCUCUCUCUCUCUCUCUCUCUCUCUCUCUCUCUCUCUCUCUCCCUCUCCUCUCUCUCUCUCUCUCUCUCUCUCUCUCUCUCUCUUUCCUCUCUCUCUCUCUCUUUCUCUCUCUCUCUCUCUCUCUCUCUCUCUCUCUCUCUCUCUCUCUCUCUCUCUCUCUCUCUCUCUCUCAUAAGGCAUCGCCGACGACGACGGUCGAGAUCGAGCAGCCUCCGAUGAGUCGCUCCACCACAUCCUCUAUAAGGUCUAGCAACCUUGUCGCUGUCGGUCGGCAUGGGAUCUGAAUCCUAUCACGAAGACAAGGCCGACGCUGACGAGAAAAAGAGCGGUGGUAGAUGACGGAGGCAGGGAGACAACAAUCUCCUCGAAGGUAGACUUGGUGAGGAUGGAGAUGUUGCCGUCGGCGGUGUAUUGCUGCAGAGAUUGGAGAAGGUGUGGCCGAAUGUGUGAAGGUGUGGCCGAAUCUGUGAAGGUUUGGAGUGAAGUGACUGCCAAUCUCCUUGGUGGCGGAUUGCUACAGAGAUGCCGGAUUUAUGAAGGUUUUGAGUGAAGCGACGUUUACUACCCCCAGUAAAAGUUUACUAGGGGUAGUAAAUUUUAUUUUUUGCAUCUAAGUUGAUUUUUCUCCGUUUUAAUGUGUACUUAUGACCUUGGAGAUAUUGUUUUGCAAGCUUACUACCCCAGUAUAAGUUUACUGGGGGUAAUAAACUUUAUUUUUUCGCAAGUUUACUACCCCCAGUAAAAGUUUACUAGGGGUAAUAAACUUUAUUUUUUCGCAUCUAGGUUGUUCUUCCUCUGUUUUAGUGUGUAUUAUGGCAUUGAAAAUAUUUUUUUGCAAGUUUACUACCCUUGAUAAAAGAUUACUGGGGGUAGUAAACUUUAGUUUUUCAAAUCUAAAUUGUUCUUCCUCUGUUUUAGUGUGUAUUAUGGUCUUGAAAAUACUGUUUUGCAAGUUUACUACCCCUAGUAAAAGUUUACUAGGGGUAGUAAAUUUUUUUUUUUCAUCUACGUUGAUUUUUCUCCAUUUUAAUGUGUACUUAUAGCCUUAGAGAUAUUAUUUUGCAAGAUUACUACCCCCAGUAAGAUGUUUACUAGGGGUGGUAAACUUUAUUUUUUGCAUAUAUGUUGAUUUUUUCUCUCCUUUAAGGUAUAUAAUGGUCAUAGGAAAACUGUAUUGCAAGUUUACUACCCCCAACAGAAGUUUACUAGUGGUAGUAAACUUUAUUUUUCUGCAUCUAAGUUGAUUUUUCACUGCUUUAAGGUGUAUAAUGGUCAUGGAUAAACUUUAUUUUGAGUUUACUACCCCCAGUAAAAGUUUUCUAGGGGUAGUAAACUUUAUUUUGAGUGACUGGCACCGGAGCCCGAUGUGCUUCCGGCAAAGUCUUCCCUCUAUCUUUUUCACUUUUUCUCUUUAAGUAAAAGCUAAGGGUAAAAAAGUCUUUAAAAAUAUAAUUUUAUUAUAUUUUAAUAAAGAUUUGUGUAUUUGGGCUUAAAAUAAGUACCUUGUAUUCAAAUGGGCUAAUAAAAAAGAUUAUCAUUGAAAUGGGGUUUGACUUUUUCUAUUUUGUGCAAAUGGUCUUUUUCCCUUUAUAGAAGACAAUGCUAAUUGGUGGGGUGAGGUAGAAGUAUAAUUGUAUUAGAAAUAGGUUAAUAUAAAGCUUUUAAUAAAAAAGAUUAUCAUUAAAAUAUGAUUUGACUUUUUCUAUUUUGUGCAAAUGGUCUUUUUCCCUUUAUAGAAGACAAUGUUAAUUGGUGGGGUGAGGUAGAAGUAUAAUUGUAUUAGGAAUAGGUUAAUAUAAAGCUUUUAUUAUUCUUUAUUGGACUAAACACCUAAUUUUUCUAGAAAGAGAAAGUUUUUAUUGUUUUUAUUAGUAAAUCAAACCAAUCUAGAGGACUGGAGGGGUGCCAGCAUAGCUAAAACUUCUAAACUAGCUAGACUCCAAACAUCAAAUGCAGAUAAAAUCAUAAAUCUGGGGGUGCCAUGGCACCCCUUGGUUUCUAUGUACCUGUUUAAGUUUCUUGACCCAUUUCUCUACUGGCGUGCCCCGAGCAUCUAGUCUCUGAUCCGCAGCGCUGCCUAAGAAAUCUUGAAUGUUGGAUAAGGACCGUCUGAGCUUCUCCAGUUCGGUGUGGAACCCCCAUGCAAGACCAAUUUUGUUAGCGGCAAGUGAAGACACCUUGGUCAGAAUCCCCUCAGCAGCGAAAGUGAGCACAAAUUCAGCUGCCAUCUUCUUCCUCACGAACUCUCUGAACAAACAACAGUGUAAGUUGUGCUCCGAUCAAAUAUAAAGGCAGAUGUGUAGAAAGAAUUAGAUACCUUUCUUCCCUAGAUAGGAAAACUAGUGCCCAAAAAGGUCGAGGAAUACGAAUAGGUUGGAUCUGGCAAGGUAAGGUAAGAAUAAUGCUCGUCCUUCUUGAUAGGCUCAUCCUUCUUAAUAUUCAAAACUUGUUGUAAUGUUCAUCCUUCUUGAUAGGCUCAUCCUUCUUAAUAUUCAAAACUUGUUGUAAUGUUCAUCCUUCUUGAUAGGCUCAGGCUCUCUGUAAGGGCUGGACGAGUCUUUCGUAUAAGGACGCUAAGUAAAUAACUACAAUCGAAAGCACACAUAAAGUAAUGUACGUGACUACGUGUGCAUGUAAUUAAAUGCAUAAAGCCUACUAAAGACACCAACUUCAUAAUGCAAGAAGUUACCCUAGUUAACUAUAUGCAACACACAAUACGUAGUUUGUGACUUGGCCCCUACCUUCCUCGAAACUGUACAAUUUUCUUGCUACAGUGUUAAUUGACUAAUAUAUUGAUGGUAGAUUAGAAUUGUAACUAAGAUACUGGAACCCACCAAUGAAUUGAGCAGGAGUUUCUGAAUCGAGAAUGAUGAAGCCUCCUCAAAAGAAAGAAACACCAAUUAAGCUUUUGAAAAAUGAAAAUAAUACAAUAUUAAAUCUCGUAAUUAUUCUUCUCCUAGUUGAUAAUGGCUAUCUAGGUUAUAUUCUAUGAUUAUUUAAAAAAAAAUGUUAGAAAGAAAGGCUUUCCUAAUUCUAGUAGAAAUUAAGAUA
rnacentral:lncRNA from 1 species